rnacentral:rRNA from 1 species
UACGUAGGGGGCUAGCGUUGUCCGGAAUUAUUGGGCGUAAAGCGCGCGCAGGCGGUCCUUUAAGUCUGAUGUGAAAGCCCCACGGCUCAACCGUGGAGGGUCAUUGGAAACUGGGGGACUUGAGUGCAGAAGAGGAAAGCGGAAUUCCACGUGUAGCGGUGAAAUGCGUAGAGAUGUGGAGGAACACCAGUGGCGAAGGCGGCUUCUGGUCUGUAACUGACGCUGAGGCGCGAAAGCGUGGGGAGCAAACAGG